rnacentral:rRNA from 1 species
CUCGAUGAGUAGGGCGGGACACGUGGUAUCCUGUCUGAAUAUGGGGGGACCAUCCUCCAAGGCUAAAUACUCCUGACUGACCGAUAGUGAACCAGUACCGUGAGGGAAAGGCGAAAAGAACCCCGGCGAGGGGAGUGAAAAAGAACCUGAAACCGUGUACGUACAAGCAGUGGGAGCACGCUUAGGCGUGUGACUGCGUACCUUUUGUAUAAUGGGUCAGCGACUUAUAUUCUGUAGCAAGGUUAACCGAAUAGGGGAGCCGAAGGGAAACCGAGUCUUAACUGGGCGUUAAGUUGCAGGGUAUAGACCCGAAACCCGGUGAUCUAGCCAUGGGCAGGUUGAAGGUUGGGUAACACUAACUGGAGGACCGAACCGACUAAUGUUGAAAAAUUAGCGGAUGACUUGUGGCUGGGGGUGAAAGGCCAAUCAAACCGGGAGAUAGCUGGUUCUCCCCGAAAGCUAUUUAGGUAGCGCCUCGUGAAUUCAUCUCCGGGGGUAGAGCACUGUUUCGGCAAGGGGGUCAUCCCGACUUACCAACCCGAUGCAAACUGCGAAUACCGGAGAAUGUUAUCACGGGAGACACACGGCGGGUGCUAACGUCCGUCGUGAAGAGGGAAACAACCCAGACCGCCAGCUAAGGUCCCAAAGUCAUGGUUAAGUGGGAAACGAUGUGGGAAGGCCCAGACAGCCAGGAUGUUGGCUUAGAAGCAGCCAUCAUUUAAAGAAAGCGUAAUAGCUCACUGGUCGAGUCGGCCUGCGCGGAAGAUGUAACGGGGCUAAACCAUGCACCGAAGCUGCGGCAGCGACACUAUGUGUUGUUGGGUAGGGGAGCGUUCUGUAAGCCUGUGAAGGUGUACUGUGAGG